AGGGUAAUAGUUAAAGGAAAAAUAACAUUUAAAUUGCAAUUAAAAAUCAUUGUAGAAUUACAAUUUACCUUU
rnacentral:tRNA from 1 species